CAGCAAGCUCGUUUUCGACACCGUCGAGCGUAUUGUUGAUAAAUCCGAUGAUGUUUCUUAUGCUUAUUUUAGAAGAACUGGAUUGGAACGAUCAGGGGUUCUUGCAAAAGACCUUGAGUGGUUUAGCCAACAGGAUAUUGCUAUUCCUAAACCUAGUACUCCUGGAGUUUCAUAUGCCAAAUAUUUGGAGGAUCUUGCAGAGAAGAGUGCCCCUUUGUUUCUCUGCCAUUUCUAUAAUAUAUAUUUCUCACACAUAGCAAGUGGUCAAGUGAUAGCAAGACAGGUCUCUGAGAAGCUUCUAGAAGGGAGAGAUUUGGAAUUUUACAGAUGGGAGGGAGAUGUUCAAGAAUUGCUGAAGUGGAC
rnacentral:misc_RNA from 1 species